rnacentral:rRNA from 1 species
UACGUAGGGCGCAAGCGUUGUCCGGAAUUAUUGGGCGUAAAGAGCUCGUAGGCGGUUUGUUGCGUCGGCUGUGAAAUCCCGAGGCUCAACCUCGGGUCUGCAGUCGAUACGAGCAAACUAGAGUGUUGCAGGGGAGACUGGAAUUCCUGGUGUAGCGGUGAAAUGCGUAGAUAUCGAGAGGAACACCUGCGGCGAAGGCGGGUUGCUGGGCCGACACUGACGCUGAUGCGCGAAAGCCAGGGGAGCGAACGGG